rnacentral:rRNA from 1 species
UAACCUGCCCAAGAGAUCGGGAUAACACCUGGAAACAGAUGCUAAUACCGGAUAACAACAGAUGAUGCCUAUCAACUGUUUAAAAGAUGGUUCUGCUAUCACUCUUGGAUGGACCUGCGGUGAAUUAGCUAGUUGGUAGGGUAACGGCCUACCAAGGCGAUGAUGCAUAGCCGAGUUGAGAGACUGAUCGGCCACAUUGGGACUGAGACACGGCCCAAACUCCUACGGGAGGCAGCAGCC